AGAGUUUGAUCAUGGCUCAGAACGAACGCUGGCGGCAUGCCUAACACAUGCAAGUCGAACGAAACCAAGGCUUCGGCCUGAAGUUUAGUGGCGCACGGGUGCGUAACGCGUGGGAAUCUGCCCUUGGGUUCGGAAUAACUCAGAGAAAUUUGAGCUAAUACCGGAUGAUGACGUAAGUCCAAAGAUUUAUCGCCCAAGGAUGAGCCCGCGUAAGAUUAGCUUGUUGGUGAGGUAAAGGCUCACCAAGGCGACGAUCUUUAGCUGGUCUGAGAGGAUGAUCAGCCACACUGGGACUGAGACACGGCCCAGACUCCUACGGGAGGCAGCAGUGGGGAAUAUUGGACAAUGGGCGAAAGCCUGAUCCAGCAAUGCCGCGUGAGUGAUGAAGGCCUUAGGGUUGUAAAGCUCUUUUACCAGGGAUGAUAAUGACAGUACCUGGAGAAUAAGCUCCGGCUAACUCCGUG
rnacentral:rRNA from 1 species